rnacentral:siRNA from 1 species
GAGCUAAGGCGCUUAUCUUCU